rnacentral:rRNA from 1 species
UACAGAGGGUGCGAGCGUUAAUCGGAAUUACUGGGCGUAAAGCGUGCGUAGACGGCUAUCUAAGUCGGGUGUGAAAGCCCCGGGCUCAACCUGGGAAUUGCAUUCGAGACUGAAUAGCUAGGGUACGGUAGAGGGAAGUGGAAUUUCCGGUGUAGCGGUGAAAUUCGUAGAUAUCAGGAGGAACACCAGUGGCGAAGGCGGCUUUCUGGACGGUAACUGACGCUGGAGACGCGAAAGCGUGGGGAGCAAACAGG